rnacentral:rRNA from 1 species
UAAUACGUAGGGAGCAAGCGUUGUCCGGAUUUAUUGGGCGUAAAGAGCUCGUAGGCGGCUUAGAAAGUCAGGUGUGAAAACUCCAGGCUCAACCUGGAGACGCCACUUGAUACUUCUAUGGCUUGAGUUCGGUAGGGGACCAUGGAAUUCCUGGUGUAGCGGUGAAAUGCGCAGAUAUCAGGAGGAACACCGAUGGCGAAGGCAGUGGUCUGGGCCGAAACUGACGCUGAGGAGCGAAAGCGUGGGUAGCGAACAGGAUUAGAUACCCUGGUAGUCCACGCCGUAAACGUUGGGUACUAGGUGUGGGAGAUAACCAAUGUCUUCCGUGCCGCAGCUAACGCAUUAAGUACCCCGCCUGGGGAGUACGGUCGCAAGACUA